GGGCACGACACCGGAGAGGGAGCCUGAGAAACGGCUACCACAUCCAAGGAUGGCAGCAGGCGCGCAAAUUACCCAAUCCCGACACGGGGAGGUAGUGACAAUAAAUAACAAUACGGGGUUCUUUCGGAUCUCGUAAUUGGAAUGAGUACAAUUUAAAUCUCUUAACGAGGAACAAUUGGAGGGCAAGUCUGGUGCCAGCAGCCGCGGUAAUUCCAGCUCCAAUAGCGUAUAUUAAAGUUGUUGCAGUUAAAAAGCUCGUAGUUGAAUUUCGGGGUUAGUAGGUUGGUCAUGCCUCUGGUAUGUACUGGUCUCACUGAUUCCUCCUUCCUGAUGAACCGUAAUGCCAUUAAUUUGGUGUUGCGGGGAAUUUGGACUGUUACUUUGAAAAAAUUAGAGUGUUUAAAGCAAGCUAACGCUUGAAUACAUUAGCAUGGAAUAAUGAAAUAGGACGUUCGAUCCUAUUUUGUUGGUUUCUAGGAUUGACGUAAUGAUUAAUAGGGAUAGUUGGGGGCAUUAGUAUUCAAUUGUCAGAGGUGAAAUUCUUGGAUUUAUUGAAGACUAACUACUGCGAAAGCAUUUGCCAAGGAUGUUUUCAUUAAUCAAGAACGAAAGUUAGGGGAUCGAAGACGAUCAGAUACCGUCGUAGUCUUAACCAUAAACUAUGCCGACUAGGGAUCGGAUGAUGUUAAUUUUUUAAUGACUCAUUCGGCGCCUUA
rnacentral:rRNA from 1 species